rnacentral:rRNA from 1 species
AACGAACGCUGGCGGCAGGCUUAACACAUGCAAGUCGAACGGGCAUAGCAAUAUGUCAGUGGCAGACGGGUGAGUAACACGUGGGAACCUUCCUAGAGGUACGGAACAACUCAGGGAAACUUGAGCUAAUACCGUAUACGCUCUUGCGAGGAAAGAUUUAUCGCCUUUAGACGGGCCCGCGUAGGAUUAGGUAGAUGGUGGGGUAAUGGCCUACCAAGCCUACGAUCCGUGGCUGAUCUGAGAGGGUGAUAAGCCACACUGGGACUGAGACACGGCCCAGACUCCUACGGGAGGCAGCAGUGGGGAAUCUUGGACAAUGGGCGAAAGCAUGAUCCAGCCAUGCCGCGUGAGUGAAGAAGGCCUUCGGGUUGUAAAGCUCUUUUACCAGGGACGAUAAUGACGGUACCUGGAGAAUAAGCCCCGGCAAACUUCGUGCCAGCAGCCGCCGUAA